rnacentral:rRNA from 1 species
UGGGGAAUUUUGGACAAUGGGCGAAAGCCUGAUCCAGCAAUGCCGCGUGUGUGAAGAAGGCCUUCGGGUUGUAAAGCACUUUUGUCCGGAAAGAAAUCCUUGGCUCUAAUACAGUCGGGGGAUGACGGUACCGGAAGAAUAAGCACCGGCUAACUACGUGCCAGCAGCCGCGGUAAUACGUAGGGUGCAAGCGUUAAUCGGAAUUACUGGGCGUAAAGCGUGCGCAGGCGGUUUGCUAAGACCGAUGUGAAAUCCCCGGGCUCAACCUGGGAACUGCAUUGGAUGACUGGCAGGCUAGAGUAUGGCAGAGGGGGGUAGAAUUCCACGUGUAGCAGUGAAAUGCGUAGAGAUGUGGAGGAAUACCGAUGGCGAAGGCAGCCCCCUGGGCCAAAUACUGACGCUCAUGCACGAAAGCGUGGGGGAGCAAAACAGGAUUAGAUAACCCUGGUAGUCCACGCCCUAAAACGAUGUCAACUAGUUGUUGGGGAUUCAUUUCCUUUAG